ACUUUCAACAACGGAUCUCUUGGUUCUCGCAUCGAUGAAGAACGCAGCGAANUGCGAUAAGUAAUGUGAAUUGCAGAANUCAGUGAAUCAUCGAAUCUUUGAACGCACAUUGCGCCCUCUGGCA
rnacentral:rRNA from 1 species